GACGAACGCUGGCGGCGUGCUUAACACAUGCUAGUCGAACGGAAAGGCCCUGCUUUUGUGGGGUGCUCGAGUGGCGAACGGGUGAGUAACACGUGAGUAACCUGCCCUUGACUUUGGGAUAACUUCAGGAAACUGGGGCUAAUACCGGAUAGGAGCUCCUGCUGCAUGGUGGGGGUUGGAAAGUUUCGGCGGUUGGGGAUGGACUCGCGGCUUAUCAGCUUGUUGGUGGGGUAGUGGCUUACCAAGGCUUUGACGGGUAGCCGGCCUGAGAGGGUGACCGGCCACAUUGGGACUGAGAUACGGACCAGACUCCUACGGGAGGCAGCAGUGGGGAAUAGUGCACAAUGGGAGGAAGCCUGAUGCAGCAACGCCGCGUGCGGGAUGACGGCCUUCGGGUUGUAAACCGCUUUCGCCUGUGCCGCAGCGUGAGUGACGGUAAUGGGUAAAGAAGCACCGGCUAACUACGUG
rnacentral:rRNA from 1 species